CCUACGGGAGGCUGCAGUGAGGAAUAUUGGUCAAUGGCCGGAAGGCUGAACCAGCCAUGCCGCGUGAAGGUCAGUGCCCUAUGGGCGUUAAACUUCUUUUGUGCGGGAGCAAUAAUGGUCACGUGUGGCCAGACGAGAGUACCGUACGCAUAAGCAUCGGCUAACUCCGUGCCAGCAGCCGCGGUAAUACGGGGGAUUCAAGCGUUAUCCGGAUUUAUUGGGUUUAAAGGGUGCGUAGGCUGGGAGGUAAGUUAGCGUGGAAAUGCCCCUGCGCGACGGGGUGAAGUGCCAUUGAUACUGGCUUGCUGGAAUGCGGAUGAGGUGUGAGGAAUGUGUGGUGUAGCGGUGAAAUGCAUAGAUAUCACACAGAACACCGAUUGCGAAGGCAUCUCACGAAUCCGCGAUUGACGCUGAUGCACGAAAGCGUGGGUAUCAAACAGGAUUAGAUACCCCUGUAGUC
rnacentral:rRNA from 1 species